UACGUAGGGUGCAAGCGUUGUCCGGAAUUAUUGGGCGUAAAGAGCUCGUAGGCGGUGCGGUAAGUCACCUGUGAAAUCUCCUGGCUCAACUGGGAGCUUGCAGGCGAAACUGCCGUGCUGGAGUGUGGGAGAGGUGAGUGGAAUUCCCGGUGUAGCGGUGAAAUGCGUAGAUAUCGGGAAGAACACCCGUGGCGAAGGCGGCUCUCUGGGACGGUACUGACGCUGAGACGCGAAAGCGUGGGGAGCGAACAGG
rnacentral:rRNA from 1 species